rnacentral:lncRNA from 1 species
GACAGUGUCAGGUGUUGGGGACGGUGACAGUGCCAGGUGUUGUUGGGGACAAUCACAGCUCCAGGUGUUGGUGGGCACGGUGACGGUGAUGGUGACAGCACCGGGUGUUGGGGACAAUCACGGCUCCGGGUGUUGGUGGGGACAGUGACAGCUCCGGGUGUUGGGGACAAUCACAGCUCCGGGUGUUGUUCGGGGAUGGUGACAGUGCCAGGUGUUGUUGGGGACAAUCACAGCUCCAGGUGUUGGUGGGGACAGUGACGGUGACAGUGACAACACUGGGGAUGGCUCUGGGUGUUGGGGGACAGCUCCGGGUGACAGUGGCGGCGACAACAGUGGGGACGGCUCCGGGUGUUGGGGACAAGUCCAGGUGUUGGUGACAACACUGGGGAUGGCUCCGGGUGUUGGUGACGGUGACAACACUGGGGACGGCUUCGGGUGUUGGCAAGAGCUCUGGGUGUUGGCGAUAGCUCUGGGUGUUGGGGACGGCUCCGAGUGUUGGUGA